AGAGUUUGAUCCUGGCUCAGGAUGAACGCUAGCGACAGGCUUAACACAUGCAAGUCGAGGGGCAGCGGAGGCGAGUGCUUGCACUUGCCAGACGGCGACCGGCGCACGGGUGAGUAACACGUAUGCGACCUGCCCGUAGCAGGGGGAUAAGCGGAAGAAAUUCCGUCUAAUACCGCGUAAUAUCUUUCGGGGGCAUCCCUGAGGGAUUAAAGGAAGCGAUUCCGGCUACGGAUGGGCAUGCGGCGCAUUAGCUAGUCGGCGGGGUAACGGCCCACCGAGGCGACGAUGCGUAGGGGUUCUGAGAGGAAGGUCCCCCACACUGGUACUGAGGCACGGACCAGACUCCUACGGGAGGCAGCAGUGAGGAAUAUUGGUCAAUGGCCGCAGGGCUGAACCAGCCAAGUCGCGUGAGGGAUGACGGUCCUGUGGAUUGUAAACCUCUUUUGUCAGGGAGCAAAGGGCGUCACGUGUGGCGCUUUGCGAGUACCUGAAGAAAAAGCAUCGGCUAACUCCGUGCCAGCAGCCGCGGUAAUACGGAGGAUGCGAGCGUUAUCCGGAUUUAUUGGGUUUAAAGGGUGCGCAGGCGGAAUGUCAAGUCAGCGGUAAAAUUUCGGGGCUCAACCCCGUCGUGCCGUUGAAACUGGCGUUCUUGAGUGAGCGAGAAGUAUGCGGAAUGCGUGGUGUAGCGGUGAAAUGCAUAGAUAUCACGCAGAACUCCGAUUGCGAAGGCAGUAUACCGGCGCUCAACUGACGCUCAUGCACGAAAGCGUGGGUAUCGAACAGGAUUAGAUACCCUGGUAGUCCACGCAGUAAACGAUGAAUACUAACUGUCCGGGCCGAUUGAGGUCUGGGUGGUACAGCGAAAGCGUUAAGUAUUCCACCUGGGGAGUACGCCGGCAACGGUGAAACUCAAAGGAAUUGACGGGGGCCCGCACAAGCGGAGGAACAUGUGGUUUAAUUCGAUGAUACGCGAGGAACCUUACCCGGGCUCAAACGACGGAUGGAUGUUUUUGAAAGAAGGCAGCCCUUCGGGGCAUCCGUCGAGGUGCUGCAUGGUUGUCGUCAGCUCGUGCCGUGAGGUGUCGGCUUAAGUGCCAUAACGAGCGCAACCCCCAUCGCCAGUUACCAGCAAGUAAAGUUGGGAACUCUGGCGAGACUGCCGGCGCAAGCUGUGAGGAAGGCGGGGAUGACGUCAAAUCAGCACGGCCCUUACGUCCGGGGCGACACACGUGUUACAAUGGCAGGUACAGAGAGAAGCGAUGCGGCGACGCAGAGCGGAACUUCAAAGCCUGUCUCAGUUCGGAUUGGAGUCUGCAACCCGACUCAAUGAAGCUGGAUUCGCUAGUAAUCGCGCAUCAGCCACGGCGCGGUGAAUACGUUCCCGGGCCUUG
rnacentral:rRNA from 1 species